rnacentral:lncRNA from 1 species
UGUUUACAGAUAAUGUCUCCAGGUAGUGGUCGAGUUGAAAAAUGCUUUGUGGUCUAUGCCGUCAUCAGUUUUCAUAAAUGUCACAUCUAUUACGCAGAAGGAACGCAUUCCAUAAUUGCAUUGUGGUAGCCAGUUAGAGCAGCAUCAAAUGAAUGUCUUGGAUAUGCUUGGGUCUCUUGGUGUCUCUCUGGAGCUCCUGACAAGAUCUUUCACCACACUCCAGAUCAUCUCUUCCCCUCAACCCUGACUGAAUUCAUAGAGGACCACUAAGCUCCUGGUUGCUGAGACAACAGGGUUGAGACCCGGGGUGACCAUGACAACUAACUGGACUUCAACUCAGGAAGCUAUACUGUUGGUUCCAGAGGAUUCUGGGAGCUCCUAUGAGGUGAGGGGAAGGGAUCCUGGGGGUGGGAGUUCCUCCAAGAAGUAGAUGUCUCUGGUUUGUCACUA